GGGUCGGUAGCUCAGGGGUAGAGCACGGGACUUUUAAUCUCGCGGCCGAGGGUUCGAUCCCCUCCCGACCCACCA
rnacentral:tRNA from 1 species